CAGCCGCCACGGUAAUACAGAGGGUGCGAGCGUUAAUCGGAUUUACUGGGCGUAAAGCGUGCGUAGGUGGUGGUUUAAGUCCGUUGUGAAAGCCCUGGGCUCAACCUGGGAAUUGCAGUGGAUACUGGGUCACUAGAGUGUGGUAGAGGAUAGUGGAAUUUCCGGUGUAGCAGUGAAAUGCGUAGAGAUCGGAAGGAACAUCUGUGGCGAAGGCGACUAUCUGGGCCAACACUGACACUGAGGCACGAAAGCGUGGGGAGCAAACAGGAUUAGAUACCCCGGUAGUCCCUGUCUCUUAUAC
rnacentral:rRNA from 1 species